UUUAUAGAAUAUGUAUGUAACUUACAUAACUUACAUACAUAUUCUUUGAA
rnacentral:pre_miRNA from 1 species